GUAGGGUGCGAGCGUUGUCCGGAAUUAUUGGGCGUAAAGGGCUCGUAGGCGGUUUGUCGCGUCGGGAGUGAAAACCUCGGGCUUAACUCGGGGCUUGCUUUCGAUACGGGCAGACUGGAGGUAUGCAGGGGAGAACGGAAUUCCUGGUGUAGCGGUGAAAUGCGCAGAUAUCAGGAGGAACACCGGUGGCGAAGGCGGUUCUCUGGGCAUGACCUGACGCUGAGGAGCGAAAGUGUGGGGAGCGAACAGGAUUAGAUACCCUGGUAGUCCACACCGUAAACGUUGGGCGCUAGGUGUGGGAUCCAUUCCACGGGUUCCGUGCCGCAGCUAACGCAUUAAGCGCCCCGCCUGGGGAGUACGGCCGCAAGGCUAAA
rnacentral:rRNA from 1 species